rnacentral:rRNA from 1 species
CUGGCUCAGACAACGGCUGGCGGCAUGCCUAACACAUGCAAGUCGAACGAGACCUUCGGGUCUAGUGGCGCACGGGUGCGUAACGCGUGGGAAUCUGCCCCUCGGUUGGGAAUAACACAGAGAAAUUUGUGCUAAUACCUUAUAAUGUCUUCGGACCAAAGAUUUAUCGCCGAGGGAUGAGCCCGCGUAGGAUUAGGUAGUUGUGGGGUAAUGGCCUACCAAGCCGACGAUCCUUAGCUGGUCUGAGAGGAUGAUCAGCCACACUGGGACUGAGACACGGCCCAGACUCCUACGGGAGGCAGCAGUGGGGAAUAUUGGACAAUGGGCGAAAGCCUGAUCCCAGCAAUGCCGCGUGAGUGAUGAAGGCCUUAGGGUUGUAAAGCUCUUUUACCCGGGAUGAUAAUGACAGUACCGGGAGAAUAAGCUCCGGCUAACUCCGUGCCAGCCGCCGC